rnacentral:rRNA from 1 species
UACGUAGGGACCGAGCGUUGUCCGGAAUCAUUGGGCGUAAAGAGCGUGUAGGUGGCCUUUUAAGUCCUGCGUGAAAUCCUGCGGCUCAACCGCAGACGGUCGUGGGAAACUGGAAGGCUAGAGUGCGGGAGAGGAGAGUGGAAUUCCCGGUGUAGCGGUGAAAUGCGCAGAUAUCGGGAAGAACACCCGUGGCGAAGGCGGCUCUCUGGAACGCAACUGACGCUGAGACGCGAAAGCGUGGGGAGCAAACAGG